GGCUACUCUUGUAAUUAGCUUAUUUUCUGUAGUUAGGCUAUAUGUGUAAGUAGGCUAUUUCUGUAAUUGAUUAGGCUACAUUUGCAAAGGCUAUAUUUAAUAUAUAGUCUUAGGGGUCAUUUGGACAGGGCUGAGGGGUCAUUUGAUGAAAUAAUAUCUUCUCUCUUCUUCGAGAGUCUUCCGAAACUCUCCUCCUUCUCUC
rnacentral:lncRNA from 1 species